UCCUCGGUUUCUUGAAAGAAAAAAAAUUCUUUAAUAGCACUAAGCGUGUGAUUGACAAAAAAGUUCUUGCUCCUACAACUUUAGUUAUGAAAAGGUUCGCGGUAGACUUAUCUCAUUUUGCGGCAGCACAAGUCGAACGGGAAUUAUCGAUUUUUUGAUUAUAAAGGAAAACCGGCAAUUUUUUUGCUGCCUUUUUAGAGGAUUGUAGAGUUAACGACAAGAUGCAUAUCGUGAACUUGGUCGAGAUAAAAUCAAGAAAGACCGAUUUAACAUACAACGAGGUAUCGCAGCGUUACCGCAGACUUAAUUGAGCAUAAGCACGCACGCACUGAAUAAACGAGAGAGGCAACCUGCCGGAAGAAGUGUCCGCGUGUGAGACCGGCUUCUCGAUUACGGCCGAAGAAUUUGCAAUUAAGAAGAACUUUUUGGUCGAUCGUCCACGAUAGGGCACACAAAAAA